UUUUUUCUAGUUUUAUUUAUAGGUAUAGGAAAUAUUGUAGAUAACGAAUUAAAUAAUGAAGAGAAUAUUGAAGAUAUAUGAAAUAGUGAAGAAAAUAUUGAAGGUGUAUUAAAUAUGGAAGAAAAUAUUAAAGAUGCAUCAGACAGUGAAGAAAAUAUUGAAGGCGUAUUAAAUAUGGAAGAAAAUAUUGAAGAUGUUUUAAAUAGUGAAGAAAAUUUUGAAGGUGUAUCAAAUGGAGAAGAAAAUAUUGAAG
rnacentral:lncRNA from 1 species